UGUCAGUAACAGAAGUUGAGGUUUUGGAAGCAGAGCACCAAGGAUUUAUUCAGCACAACAGGGAGAGAUUGUUGCACUCACCCGGGCAUGUCAGUUGGGGAUCGAUUCUAGGCCCAACAGGAGAGUUGCAGAGUAAGGUGACACAUAGAUCCAACCAGGAGAUUGGGUCUGGGUCCAAUCCCUCAAGAAAAAAGACUGGAAACAGCCACGGUGGGAAGGACCAUACCAGGUGCUACUGGUGACAGCCUUUGCAGUACAAAUAGCGGAAAGAGCCACCUUGGUCCAUAUUACACACUGCAAGAGGAUGGAGCUGCCACCUCGACCAAAACUCUUUGACUUCCAUGGAGUCUCCAUGACCAACUACUUCACUGGCAACUGGGACAAUGUACAGAACUUCCAGGCCAGACCAGAUGACAUUCUCAUCGCUACCUACCCCAAAGCAGGAACCACAUGGGUCUCCUACAUUCUAGACCUGCUGUAUUUUGGCCAGACAGACCCUGAGCAUCAGAGACCCAUCUUUGAGAAAGUUCCUUUCCUGGAGUUGCUCCUUCCUCUUUACCCUCCAGGUUUGAAUAGAAUGAAUGGAAUUUGAAUGUCUAUAUGACCCGAAGCGGUUAAAGAGCCAGCAACUUGCACAUACACACACCCUCCACUUUUCACAGCUGUCUCAGCUGUAUGUUCACUAUGCCUGUGGACAGCAUGACACUCGCACUGUAAAAAGUGGGAUGGCGCUGUUGUUCAUCUGAAGUGCUUCUACUAUUUGGAAUGAUAGAAAAUUACACUACUUUAUUCAAUACUUAAAUAAAAGUAUUUUUCAAGUGAAAAAAAUUGCUUGAAAACUAGCCGUCUGUCAUUGAAUGACAACAAACACUUCUUUGAAGAAUCCCUACUGUUGACCAAUCACGGAACUUCGACUUACCUCAAGAAAGAAUGUGUGCUUCAACAGCCCACGCUGUUGAACAUCAACGCUGUCGAACAUCAAAAAUAACAAAAAUGACACAAAAUGUUGUCAUAAUAUAUGCGCAAACUGUAUUGACUGGGAAGCAUGUGGUAAGCUUAAUGUAAUAUUAACUUCGCUCAAUUCUGUGUCCAGCUGCCACAUAGUGGUGAAUUUCAGGUAAUUUUAAGUGCCCCCGUUUAUUCAGUAGUGACACAUGAGAUGGUGAAAGAGCAGAAAAUCUCCUCAGCUCUGGAGUAGAUCCAGAACAAACCAGACCCUUUCCCUCAAGUGAAAAGAAAAUGAUGGAAGAGAGAUUGGGGAGGAGAUGGGAAAGGAGGAGCACAGAGAAUAAAUUAGGAGUCAUUUUGUAAGCAGUGCAUUCACCCUGAGGUAUCUUACUCAGAAAGAGCAGGGUAAGUCAGUUGUUUUGGUUUGUAGGAAUUGCUUUCAUGUGUAGUAUGGUUUUACUGUCAUCAUUUGAGAAACAUUAAGACUUAGGCUUUGUUUAAAGGAUUCAACCCUUUUUUCAAUUUUCGAUUAAUGACAUACCCAAAUUGAACUGCCUGUAGCUCAGGACCUGCUGCAAGGAUAUGCAUAUUCUUGAUACCAUUUGAAAGGAAACACUUUGAAGCUUGUGGCAAUGUGAAAUGAAUGUUGGAGAAUAUAACACAUUCGAUCUGUUAACAGAUUAUACAAUGAAAAUAAAAUAAUUUUUUCUCCUUU